AAAAUCAGUGCCAUUGGCUUUAGCUUUGCCCUUGAACUUGAAAUCUCGUGCCUUAUUCUUUCCUGGGGACUGGUGUUGGAUAUUGAACGGGCGGAGUUACCGCCGGGAUGAUGGAUGAAGGAGAUGAUGGCCUAAACUUGGCUGCGCGCUUUCUCAUUUUCGCGUGGCCUGCCACUAGUGCACUAGUGUUGCGCAGAUUCACAAAGGGUGUCACAGGCAUAGCUGGAGGAAGAAAGGUACUACACGAAUGCGAAACGUGACAAACUCUACAACGUCAUUAGCCUGGAGUUCACCAAGACUAAGUUGGAGCCUCUAGUGGAGUCACCCAGUCUGAUACGUCAUUUGGAUUGGGUGGACUUGGUGUGGCCGGAAACAUUGCGCGCUUUGCAGCAGGAGGCCACCAACCGACUGGUCGACAUGAAAUAUCCCAAAGUGCAAAUGUACUGCCUGAUGAGCGUCGGAGGCUGCUACACAGAUUUCCGUAUCGACUUUGGUGGCACAUCCGUCUGGUAUCACAUUCUCAAGGGUGGAAAGGUCAGCAUUCCCUGUCUGUUUGUCUGCACGCCUGUCUGUUUUUGUGUCACACACAUGCACACAGUAUAUAGAUGGACGAUGGGUGUAGAUACAGACAUACAUCUGUCUGUCUGUCUGUAUGUCUGUAUGUCUGUUUAUCUGUCUGUCUGUUUAUCUGUCUGUCUGUCUGUCUGUCUGUUUAUCUGUCUGUCUGUCUGUCUGUUUCUCUACCCAUCAUCCAUCCGCACUUGUAUGUAUAUUUACCUCUCUGUCCAUCCUUCUGACUGACAAGCUCCUUAUAAUCACGAAUGUGUCUUGUAGCAGAACCUGAAAAGGAAGUGGAAUGAGAAGAAGAAAGCUGGCGUUGGCUUAAG